rnacentral:rRNA from 1 species
AUACGUAGGUGGCAAGCGUUAUCCGGAAUUAUUGGGCGUAAAGAGUGAGCAGGCGGCCAUUUAAGUCAGCGGUUAAAUCGUGGGGCUCAACCCCAUUCUGCCGUUGAUACUGGGUGGCUUGAUUGCGGUCGAGGUUGGCGGAAUUCGUUGUGUAGCGGUGAAAUGCAUAGAUAUGACGAAGAACACCGAUUGCGUAGGCAGCUGACCAGACCGCAAAUGACGCUCAUGCACGAAAGUGCGGGGAUCGAACAGGAUUAGAUACCCUGGUAGUCCGCACAGUAAACGAUGAAUACUUGUUUUCGGCGAUAUAAUGUCGGAGGCAAAGCGAAAGCGAUAAGUAUUCCACCUGGGGAGUACGCCGGCAACGGUGAAACUCAAAUGAAUUGACGGGG